AUACGGAGGGUGCAAGCGUUACUCGGAAUCACUGGGCGUAAAGCGCGCGCAGGCGGCUAUUUAAGUUGGAUGUGAAAGCCUACGGCUCAACCGUAGAACUGCAUCCAAAACUAUUUAGCUAGAGUGUGAGAGAGGAAGAUGGAAUUAGUUGUGUAGGGGUAAAAUCCGUAGAGAUAACUAGGAAUACCAAAAGCGAAGGCAAUCUUCUGGAACACUACUGACGCUGAGGCGCGAAAGCGUGGGGAGCAAACAGAAUUAGAUACCCGAGUAGUCC
rnacentral:rRNA from 1 species